GAUGAAGAACGUAGCGAAAUGCGAUAAGUAAUGUGAAUUGCAGAGUUCAGUGAAUCAUCGAAUCUUUGAACGCACAUUGCGCCCGCCAGUAUUCUGGCGGGCAUGCCUGUUCGAGCGUCAUUUCAACCCUCAGGCCCCCAGUGCCUGGCGUUGGGGAUCGGCGCGGCGCCCUCCGGGGCGCUGCCGGCCCCGAAAUUCAGUGGCGGUCUCGCUGUAGCCCUCCUCCGCGUAGUAGCACAACCUCGCGGCCUGGAGCUCGGCGGUGGCCAUGCCGUAAAACACCCCACUUCUGAAAGUUGACCUCGGAUCAGGUAGGAAUACCCGCUGAACUUAAGCAUAUCAAUAAGCGGAGGA
rnacentral:misc_RNA from 1 species